UACGAAGGGUGCAAGCGUUAAUCGGAAUUACUGGGCGUAAAGCGUGCGCAGGCGGUUCGCCAAGUCAGGUGUGAAAUCCCCGGGCUUAACCUGGGAAUUGCGCUUGAAACUAGCGGGCUUGAGUUCGGAAGAGGCGAGUGGAAUUCCCGGUGUAGCGGUGAAAUGCGCAGAUAUCGGGAGGAACACCUAUGGCGAAGGCAGCUCGCUGGGACGUUACUGACGCUGAGACGCGAAAGCGUGGGGAGCAAACAGG
rnacentral:rRNA from 1 species